ACUUCCUCAGAUCAAAUAGUGGAAGAAAAUAGUCACAACCAUAUAUACCAAAGGAUACAGUUAAAAACAUGAACACACAUGAAAAGGACAAAUCACAUUUGUCUACAUUUCUAUCACUAUAGGCAAAAAAGUGAGACCUUGAAUGUCCAAUUAAGAAGAUUGUGAACAGUGUACUACUCAUGAAUGGGAUGAAAUUACUAAAGGGAGAAGUACAAGUCCUGGUAAAGAAGAAAGAAAUUGGUGAAGUAGAGGUGGGAGAUAGUGAAAAACAGUCCAACAUAAGAGUUCUAUUUAAAUAUACUGCAUGGGGGCUGCCUCUGAAUAUUGACAACAUGUUCAAGUUAUAUCUGUGCUAUUUUGGGUGACACCCCCUGCUAGCACUUCAGGACCAACAAUGGAAAAGCGAGAGAGAGCAAGAACAAUGGACUGUGAAAAGGUUUGGUUUGGUUGGCUUCCCUGUGGAUAUACUAUUACUGACUCACGGAUGCUGUAGAGUCAGGUGACCCGGUCGCCUGAUACUAACCACCACCUUGUACUGUUACACUUUGAUUCCAUACACCUCCAGUGGAAAAACAAAGGAUUCACGCCUUAUGGAGCUAUGGGAGGGAAACAGUACCUUCAGUUUGCUUCACCUCUGCCACCACAUCCACAGAGAUACUUGUAACCACCUAGAAACAAAAGGAGUAACAGAAGGAGAAAGGGAGAAGAACUGCUGGACCCAGGCUAGAAGGACACCUCUGGCCUGUGAAGGACUCUACCUAAAACAAUAUCCAGGGUGAGGAAUUAUUAUUUGUAGCCAAUUUUUUUUAGUGAAUUGAGCUUAGUUUGUGUGCUUUGUAUUAUUUUCUUAGCAAACAGAACAAAGCAGAUUACCAUCUCUCUAUGCACUUAAUACACCUUUUGGUAGACAAUAAAUAGGAAAAAGUAUAUUAUAUAACCUGGAUUAUGUAAUUUCUAACGCACAAAGUUGUAUAUGUAUCAACAUAUUCAAGUUGAAUAUGAGUCAACAGUGUGAUGCUGUUGCAAAAAAAGCAAAUAUGAUUCUAGGUUGUAUCAACAGGUGUGUUGUAAGCAUAACUCGUGAAGUCAUUCUGCCGCUCUACUCUGCACUAGUUAGGCCUCAGCUGGAGUACUGUGUCCAGCUCUGGGCGCCACAUUUCAAGAAAGAUGUGGAGAAAUUGGAAAGGGUCCAGAGAAGAGCGACAAGAAUGAUUAAAGGUUUAGAGAACAUGACCUAUGAAGCCAGGCUUCAUGAACUGGGCUUGUUUAGUUUGGAAAAAAGAAGAUUAAGGGGGGACAUGAUAGCGGUUUUCAAAUAUCUAAAAGGGUGUCACAAGGAGGAAGGAGAAAAUUUGUUCCUCUUGGUUUCUGAGGACAGGACAAGGAGUAAUGGGCUUAAAGUGCAGCAGGGGAGGUUUAGAUUGGCCAUUAGGAAAAAAUUCCUAACUGUCAGGGUGGUCAAAUAUUGGAAUAAAUUGCCAAGGGAGGUGGUGGAAUCUCCCUCUCUGGAGAUAUUUAAGAACAGGUUAGAUAGACAUCUGUCAGGGAUGGUGUAGACGGAGCUUGGUCCUGCCUUGAGGGCGGGGUGCUGGACUCGAUGACCUCUCGAGGUCCCUUCCAGUCCUAUUAUUCUAUGAUUCUAUGAUUCUAUCCUUCACAUUGAAGGAGAAUGUGAAUUUUAUAUGACUGGAUUUGUACUCCAAGGUAGGCGAAUACCUGCAACUGUGGCAAGUCCCUUAAGGUGUGUCUUCCUAGAGCUGAACUCACUGUCUGUAAUGUUCAUCAGCUGGUUUGGCCCUGCCCGUGUGCUUGACAAGAAAAGGCUUGUGAGCCUGGCCCAGCAAGACAGAGUUAAAGGGUGCCCAGGCUGGUAGAAAAGGCAGGCUAAGUGGUAUAUUCAGCACAUCAGAUGGCAUCCAAGCCAUCAAAAAGAGUUGCAGAUCAGGUUUGCGGGUGACACCUAACUUGGAGUGAUUGCUGGUACUUAGGAGAACAGAACUAGAAUCCAAAAGGAACCUGAUAAAUUGGAGAAAAGGCCUGAAAUCAACAAGGUGAAAAUAAAUAAAAAGAGGGAAGUAUACACUUAGUGAUUCUCCAUUUUGAGGUUAUGCAUUUGAUUUCAUUCCUAACUAGGAAGUAGCGCUGCUGGAAAGGAUCUGGGGUGAUGUAGUGAAUCACAAAUUGAAUACAAGUCAGUGUGGUGCAAUGACCAAUCAUUCCAGGGCAUAUUAACAGGAGUGUUAAAUCUAGGACACAGAAAAUAACUCAUUCUUGUCAACACUGGUGAGGCUUCAGCUGGAGUACUGUGUCUAGAUCAAGGUUCUGUACUUUACAGCUUGUCUUUUUUUUUUUUUUUUU